AACGGACGCUGGCGGCAGGCCUAACACAUGCAAGUCGAGCGAAGCCUUCGGGCUUAGCGGCGGACGGGUGAGUAACGCGUGGGAACGUGCCCUUUGGUACGGGAUAGCCCCGGGAAACUGGGAGUAAUACCGUAUGUGGUCGAGAGACGAAAGAUUUAUCGCCAAAGGAUCGGCCCGCGUUGGAUUAGGUAGUUGGUGGGGUAAUGGCCUACCAAGCCGACGAUCCAUAGCUGGUUUGAGAGGAUGAUCAGCCACACUGGGACUGAGACACGGCCCAGACUCCUACGGGAGGCAGCAGUGGGGAAUCUUAGACAAUGGGGGAAACCCUGAUCUAGCCAUGCCGCGUGAUCGAUGAAGGCCUUAGGGUUGUAAAGAUCUUUCAGUGGGGAAGAUAAUGACUGUACCCACAGAAGAAGCCCCGGCUAACUCCGUGCCAGCCGCCGCCGUAAAAC
rnacentral:rRNA from 1 species